CGCAGCGAGAGACGAGAGGCGCUUCAGAGACUGGAGGGACGGACCUGCAGGAGCCAGGGCUGCCCGCCGAGCUGCAGUUGCCGCUGCUGCCGCUGUCGCUGUCGCGCCGCCGCUGCUGUCAGCGCCAGAGUGAAGAGUGACAGCGCCACAAAAGCGGGAGGGAGCACCGAACCCCGCGCCUCUACGAAACAGGUGCAUGCGCCCAUCUCCUGGUCAGUGGACCCAGCUCACAAGGUUGCCAUUCAUGAGCCUGAGGCUGUGAGAAAUGCUCGCUGUGCAAAGGGGAACUCUCACCAGAUAUUCUGCAGCUGUCCUAGAAAUACACUCUUCAGACUGAUUCAGCUUUACCAGAUUAUCCAACAAAAGUAUUACCGUAUACAUUAACAACGUCGAAAGUAGCCUACUUUAAGAGGAAAUAUGCAGAAGAAGAAGAUUUACAUCAAGAUUACCAUGGGUAUUUUCCAAAACACCUGAUAUUGCCCGAGGACAGGACUUGCAUUCUCAAACUUUCUCUGGAGAAGCUCAGGUUUCUUGAAGACCCAGAAACCUACUUAAGAAGGUCUGUGUUAAUUAACAAUUUGCUGAGGAAGAUACAUCUAGAGACGGAGAAAGAGAGCUAUGAAUACUUUAAAGAAGCUCCCUGUUAUAAGACUGCUUAUUCUGAUACAAGAAAACGGCUGAAGUUCAUGGUACAGGAAUGCUGUUCUCAGUCUCUUUAUUAUGAAGAGCUGCAUUCAUAUCAUAUUGUGCCUUAUGCUUCGGAGAAUGCCAUUUAUGGAAUGGGCUACACUAGCAGCCACUUGGAGCAAAAUUCUCAGUUGCUUAUUUAUAAAAUGAAUUAAAGUAACUGUUAAGUUCAUUGA